GCCACCCCCCCCGCCCGCGGGGUUGAAUUCUGCGGGCACGGGCAGACUUGGGACCGCGAGAGGUGUGGUGUGCUCUCAGGGUAGGGGUAAAAUCCUGUCAUCCUGAGAGGACCACCUGUUGCGGAGGCGCCACACUAGAACGGAUCCGACGGUCAGGGACGAAGCCUAGGGGCACGAACCGGAUUAGAUACCCGGGUAGUCCUAGGUGUAAACGCUGUGGACUUGAUGUUGGGAGCGCUCCGAGCGCCCUCAGUGUCGAAGCGAAGGUGAUAAGUCCACUGCCUGGGGAGUACGGUCGCAAGGCUGAAACUUAAAGGAAUUGGCGGGGGAGCACCGCAACCUGAGGAUUGUGCGGUUUAAUUGGAUUCAACGCCGGAAAACUCACCAUAGCCGACGGACAUAUGAAGGCCAGCGUAACGAGCUUGCCGGAUUGUUCGAGAGGUAGUGCAUGGCCGUCGUCAGUUCGUACCGCAAGGCGUUCUGUUAAGUCAGAUAACGAACGAGACCCUCAUCCCUAUUUGCUAACCAGAUCUCCGGAUCAGGCGCACUAUAGGGAGACCGCUGGCGCGAAGUCAGAGGCAGGCGAGGGCAACGGUAGGUCAGUAUGCUCCGAAUGCUAUGGGCUACACGCGCAAUACAAAGGACGGGACAAUGGGCUGCUGCUCCGACAGGAACGAUGACUAUCCCGAAACCCGUUCGUAGUUCGGAUUGAGGGCUGUAACUCGCCCUCAUGAAGCUGGAUUAGGUAGUAAUCGCGUCUCAAAAAGGCGCGGUGAAUAUGCCCCUGCUCCUUGCACACACCGCCCGUCAAACCAUCUUAGUUGGGGGUGGGUGAGGCUACCUUAACCAUGGGGUAUUCGAGCCUGCCUUUGACAAGGAGGGUUAAGUCGUAACAAGGUAUCUGUAGGGGAACCUGCAGAUG
rnacentral:rRNA from 1 species